CUUAACCAACGAAGCCACCCAGGCGCCCCUAUUUUAUUUUUUAAACAGGAUACUGAGAAGGAGGGCAUAGGUCCUUCUAAAGCGAGGUCUAGAUGUGACACUGGAAUGACAGAAAACCUGAUUACAAAAUGAACAGAGGUCUUUCCAGAGAAGACAUCCAGACGGCCGACAGACACGUGAAAUGAUGCUCCACGCUGCUCAUCGUCAGGGAAACGCAAGUCAGAACCACACUGAGACACCACCUCACGCAGGUCGGAGUGGCUGAACUCAACAGCUCGGGAAACAACACGUGUGGGCAACCGUGAUGAUGGGAAUGCAAACUGGCCCCGCCGCCACUCUGGGCAACAGUGUGGAGGUUCCUCAGAAGGUUAAAAAUACUACCCUUGGGUCCAGCGAUUGCACUACUAGGUAUCUACGCAGAGAAAACGGAAGCGCUGGCUCCAAAGAGUCUCUGCAGCUCUGUGGUCGUGGGAGCACUUUUCCUCACGGUCCAGAUGUGGCCACAGCCGUGUCCAUUGGCGGAGCCGGGUGACGAUGUGUACGCCCCUCACGUCUUGUCCGUCCGCCCAGUGGAGUACCCUUCAGCCUCAGAAAAGAAGGAAAUCCUACCAAUUGUGACAACAGUGACAGGCAUGGACGGCGUCGUGCUGAGAGACCCAGCCAGACCGAGGAAGACAAACGCCGGAAGCUUUCACUUCCAGGUCAAGCUCACAGGAGCAGACACAGGAACGGUGGCCUCCAGGGACUGGAGGGGGACAGGGAGGCUUUCAUCAGAGUACAAACUUCCAGUUCCGAGAGGAGGAGACUGAGGGUCAGAGAGGGACAAGCAUUUGCCCAACGUCACAUGCCAGCAAGAGGCAGGACUGGGACUCAAGCCGGGUCACUGGACUCCCACGCUGUGCCCCAAGCCACCAGAGCAGGCUGCGAGCCUCAGGAGCCGCCUUGGCCGGGGCCCCCUCCGUCCCCAACACGCCCGGCAGGUGGAUGGGGGUGAAGUGGGACUCGGACUCGGACACGGAGUAGCUGCCGGUGAUGCCUAUGGACGGACAAAGCACGGUUAGCGGGGGAAACGGAGAGACGGCCGCGCAGCCCGGUCAGGACCGACUGGGCCAACAGUGAGUGGAGCCGGCGACCUGUCGGCCAUCGCACGAGAGGACGCGACGCCCUCGAACCUUCGCACCUGCUAACAAGGCAGCCCCCAAGGUGACGUCCCUCUCCCAACUCCACAGCCCAGGUACAGAGACGGGCGGACGGAGCUCCACCUGACACCCCCAGACGCCCCCUCCCCCCUCCAGGUCCCUCCUCCCCGGGCGCCCCUCC